rnacentral:rRNA from 1 species
AUGACGAAGACGAUGCCGCGUGACUCUUCAGCGAGUGGAGCGUUGGUGCCGAGCGAUUCGGCGGCGAUGGCGGCUGCCGCGACGGCGACGACGGCGACGGCGGGGAAGCUCCCAUUCCCGCUGCUCACGAGGACGAACUACGCGGCGUGGGCGAUGAGGAUGAAGUACCUGUUGCGCGCCAACGGCGCGUGGGGUGCCGUUGAUCGCGAGGCCUCAUCGGAGGUCGACAAGGGCAAGGAGGAGAUGGCCAUGACGAUCAUCUCCCAGUCCAUCGACGACUCGACGCUGCUGCGAGUUGCGGAGAAGGAGACCGCAGCCGAUGUGUGGGCGGCGCUACGCUCCAUGCAUGUGGGCGUCGAGCGCGUCCGAGAGGCGAGGGUUCAAUCCUUGCGCUCGGAAUUUGAUGGCCUCAAGAUGGGUGAUGCGGAGUCCGUGGAUGAUUUCGCGGCGAGGUUCACGACGCUCGUGGGGCGCAUCCGUGAGCUUGGUGAUGCGAUGGAGGAGAAAUAUGUCGUGAAGAAGCUUCUCCGAGCCGUCUCCAACAAGUUCAUCCACGUUGCGUCAUCGAUUGCAUUGUUCGGCGACACCAACAAGAUGGCCAUGGAGGAGGCCAUUGGUUCACUCAAGGCGCAUGAGGAGCUCGUCAAGGGGCGGGAGACGACACAUAAAGAAGAGCAGCUCCUCAUGGCGAGAGGGCAUGACUCAUCGCGAGGACGCGGCCGCGGUGGCCGUGGUGGAGGGCGCAGAGACAAGAGCGAGGUACAAUGUUAUAACUGUGAUGACUUUGGACAUUUUGCUUGGGAGUGUCCGGAGAAGAAGAAGGAGAACGAGGAGAAGGCACUGCUGGCCGGCUACGGCAGCGACGGACCGGCUCUCCUAUGA